GAAACUAGGAAGUCAUUUUAGUAGAUGGAGGUCACAGGGUGGAAAAAGGAGAAGAGGCAAGGGUGGAAAACGUUGGCAGGAUGGGAAAAAGGGAAAGAAACCUAAAGAAGAGCCAGAAGAGGAUGCGGCUGAUGAUCCUACUGAGGAUGCGGCUGAUGAUCCUACUGAGGUGAGUGUGUACCAGAAUCAGUUAUUAUUUCGAAUUACACUAUGUAUGUAAUUGUUUUGAAAGUGUUAUUUCCUGUUUAAUUGUGCUGUAUGUACCUUUGAAAGUAGUUGUUAUGUUCCAGAAAAUUUGCUUUUGUGGCUGCCACAUGUUGAAUUGGUUGAGACUCUGUGAGAUAUUCAUUGAAAAGCUAUAGCAAAAUGUGCCGCAGGAUGUCCCACAAAAAGAAAAGAUUUGCAGUUUAAAAACCUUUUUCCAUGUUUUUAUUAUAGAACCAAUUAGAUAAUGACAUUUAUAACCCAGGAACAAAACUGGUGUUACAUAGUGUUAUUCAGUAGGUAAAAGCCAAAGAUGGGGCUGUAGUGGUACAUUGGGUUAAAUCGCUAAGCUGCAUAACUUGCUGACUGGAAGAUCAGUUCAAAUCUGAGAGAUGGGAUGAGCUCCCAUCAUUAGCCCUAGUUUCUGCCAACCUAGCAGUCUGAAAACAUGCAAAUGUGAGUAGAUCAAUAGGUACCACUUUGGCAGGAAGGUAAUGGCACUCCAUGCAGACAUACUGGCCACAUGACCUAGGAGGUGUCUGUGGACAACGCUGGCUCUUUGCCUUAGAAAUGAAGAUGAGUACCAACCCCCAGAGUCAGGCACCAUUAGACUUAAUGCCAGGGGAAAACUUUAUCUUUACCUUACUAUUUCAAAUGAAACUAAAAAAAACCUCUCAGGGUAAUCUUGUCUAUGAAGUUGGUAAGCCUACAUCAAAUUUAAGGGCAUCUUUUAGUUUUUUAGUCCUUACAUAGAGGUAUUAUUUUAAGAAGU